GAUGAACGCUGGCGGCGUGCCUAAUACAUGCAAGUCGAGCGAACAGACGAGGAGCUUGCUCCUCUGACGUUAGCGGCGGACGGGUGAGUAACACGUGGAUAACCUACCUAUAAGACUGGGAUAACUUCGGGAAACCGGAGCUAAUACCGGAUAAUAUAUUGAACCGCAUGGUUCAAUAGUGAAAGACGGUUUUGCUGUCACUUAUAGAUGGAUCCGCGCCGCAUUAGCUAGUUGGUAAGGUAACGGCUUACCAAGGCAACGAUGCGUAGCCGACCUGAGAGGGUGAUCGGCCACACUGGAACUAAGACACGGUCAAGACUCCUACGGGAGGCAGCAGUAGGGAAUCUUCCGCAAUGGGCGAAAGCCUGACGGAGCAACGCCGCGUGAGUGAUGAAGGUCUUCGGAUCGUAAAACUCUGUUAUUAGGGAAGAACAAAUGUGUAAGUAACUAUGCACGUCUUGACGGUACCUAAUCAGAAAGCCACGGCUAACUACGUG
rnacentral:rRNA from 1 species